rnacentral:tRNA from 1 species
GGAAGCGUAUCGAAGCGGUCAUAACGGGCACGAUUGGAAAUCGUGUAGUCUUAACGGGCUCGGGGGUUCGAAUCCCCCCGCUUCCGCCA